AUGAAGGGAAACGAAGUGACCAUCAGUG
rnacentral:piRNA from 1 species